rnacentral:rRNA from 1 species
GAAAGUAAGAAAGGGCGUAUGGCGGAUGCCUAGGCUCACGGAGGCGAUGAAGGACGUGAUAAGCUGCGAUAAGCUUCGGGUAGGUGCAAAUAACCCUUGAUCCGGAGAUUUCCGAAUGGGACAACCUAGCCGUCUGAAGGACGGUUACUCAAUCUUCAAGGUUGAGAGCUAACGCAGGGAACUGAAACAUCUUAGUACCUGUAGGAAGAGAAAAUAAAUGAAUGAUUCCCCUAGUAGUGGCGAGCGAACGGGGAACAGCCCAAACCGUUGACGUCGCAAGGCGCCAGCGGGGUUGUAGGACCGCGACAUUGUAUGCAAAUCGUGAACAGAACACUUUGGAAAAUGUGACCAUAGACGGUGAUAGUCCAGUAUGUGAAGCGAAAUGCAGCAUAGCGGUAUCCUGAGUAACGCGGGACACGAGGAAUCCUGCGCGAAUCUGCCGGGACCAUCCGGUAAGGCUAAAUACUCCCGUGAGACCGAUAGCGAACGAGUACUGUGAAGGAAAGGUGAAAAGAACCCCGAGCAGGGGAGUGAAAUAGUUCCUGAAACCAUACGCCUACAAGCGGUCGGAGCAUCUUACGAUGUGACGGCGUGCCUUUUGCAUAAUGAUCCUACGAGUUACCGUCACUGGCGAGGUUGAGUGUCACGAGACACGUAGCCGCAGUGAAAGCGAGCCUGAACAGGGCGCAUAGUCAGUGGGGGUAGACGCGAAACCAAGUGAUCUACACUUGGCCAGGAUGAAGUCCCGGUAACACGGGAUGGAGGUCCGCACCAAUAAGCGUUGAAAAGCUUCUGGAUGAGCCGAGUGUAGGAGUGAAAGGCCAAUCAAACUUGGAGAUAGCUCGUACUCCCCGAAAGGCAUUUAGGUGCCGCGUCGGAUGGUCACCGUGAGAGGUAGAGCGACCGAUAGGACAAGAGGGCUUCACCGCCUAUCGAGUCCUGACGAACUCCGAAUGCUCACGGUCUGCAGUCCGGCAGUAAGGGGGCGGGUGCUAAGGUCCGUCCCCGAGAGGAGAAGAAUCCAGACCGCCGUCUAAGGUCCCGGAGUUCUGCCUGAGUUAGUCUAACGAAGUCUGGUCCCUAUGACAGCUAGGAUGUUGGCUUGGAAGCAGCCAUUCAUUCAAAGAGUGCGUAACAGCUCACUAGUCGAGGGUCCGGGCAUGGAUAAUAAUCGGGUAUAAGGCAGACACCGAAGGCGCGGGAUAGCAUUUAAUAAAGUAUCGGUAGGGGAGCAUACUCACAGCGUGGAAUGGUGUACGUAAGUUAUCCUGGAGCGGUGAGUAAAGCAAAUGUAGGAAUAAGUAACGAUAAGGAGGGUUAGAUUCCCUCCCGCUGUAAGACCAAGGUUUCCCGGGCAAUGCCAAUCAGCCCGGGGUCAGUCGGGUCCUAAGUCUAAGCCGAACGGCGAUGGCGAUGGCAGAGACGGUUAAUAUUCCGUCACUGCCGCAUGGGGCGACGUGGAGACGGAGCAGUGAAACCACCGCGGGGCGACGGAAGUCCCCGUUGAAGAGUGUAGGUGUUGAGGAUGGCAGGCAAAUCCACCGUCCGAGCUGAACUUGAUAGUAUGGAGUCUUCUUCGGAAGAAUCCAAUAGUGUGGGUAAUCAUACUCCCGAGAAAAUCCGCUAAGCUUAACCCAUGCGGCACCCGUACCGCAAACGGACACACGUGGUCGGGUAGAACAUACUAAGGCGUUGAGAGAUUCAUGGUUAAGGAACUAGGCAAAUUGACCCUGUAACUUCGGGAUAAAGGGUCCUCGUGAUGAGCGAGGCGCAGAGAAUAGGUCCAGGCAACUGUUUAACAAAAACACAGGGCUGUGCAAACUCGAAAGAUGACGUAUACAGCCUGACACCUGCCCGGUGCCGGAAGGUUAAGAGGAGAUGUCACUAGCAAUAGGAAGCAUUGAAUUGAAGCCCCGGUAAACGGCGGCCGUAACUAUAACGGUCCUAAGGUAGCGAAAUUCCUUGUCGGGUAAGUUCCGACCUGCACGAAUGG